rfam:Clostridium sp. CAG:226 genomic scaffold, scf164
ACGCUUCGGGUCUGUGGUUGAAAGUCGAUGCCAGUCGCAGGCGAAACGAUCCACAUAAGCGGGCCAAAGCGCCCGUGAGCAUGGUGCGGCUUAGAUGUAAGUCCGUCCGCGCAUAACGCGCGAGAGGGCCGGUAGUGGGAGGCAAUUACGCUCAGUAGCGGAAGCCCCGGGCGGCGAGUGUGGGGGCAAAGACCAGGUCAGCCGAAGUUU